rnacentral:rRNA from 1 species
GACAGAGGGUGCAAACGUUGUUCGGAAUUACUGGGCGUAAAGCGCGUGUAGGCUGCUUCGCAAGUCGGGUGUGAAAGCCCUGGGCUCAACCCAGGAAGUGCACUCGAAACUGCGAAGCUGGAGUCCUGGAGAGGAAGGCGGAAUUCUCGGUGUAGAGGUGAAAUGCGUAGAUAUCGGGAGGAACACCAGUGGCGAAGGCGACUUCCUGGCCUGUUCUUGACGCUGAGGCGCGAAAGCUAGGGGAGCAAACGGG